rnacentral:rRNA from 1 species
CGGCGGACGGGUGAGUAAUGCCUGGGAAAUUGCCCUGAUGUGGGGGAUAACCAUUGGAAACGAUGGCUAAUACCGCAUAACGUCUACGGACCAAAGAGGGGGACCUUCGGGCCUCUCGCUUCAGGAUAUGCCCAGGUGGGAUUAGCUAGUUGGUGAGGUAAUGGCUCACCAAGGCGACGAUCCCUAGCUGGUCUGAGAGGAUGAUCAGCCACACUGGAACUGAGACACGGUCCAGACUCCUACGGGAGGCAGCAGUGGGGAAUAUUGCACAAUGGGCGCAAGCCUGAUGCAGCCAUGCCGCGUGUAUGAAGAAGGCCUUCGGGUUGUAAAGUACUUUCAGUCGUGAGGAAGGCAUUAACGUUAAUAGCGUUAGUGUUUGACGUUAGCGACAGAAGAAGCACCGGCUAACUCCGUGCCAGCAGCCGCGGUAAUACGGAGGGUGCGAGCGUUAAUCGGAAUUACUGGGCGUAAAGCGCAUGCAGGUGGUUUGUUAAGUCAGAUGUGAAAGCCCGGGGCUCANCCUCGGAACCGCAUUUGAAACUGGCAGGCUAGAGUACUGUAGAGGGGGGUAGAAUUUCAGGUGUAGCGGUGAAAUGCGUAGAGAUCUGA